rnacentral:rRNA from 1 species
GCAGUCGAGCGAAGUCUUCGGACUUAGCGGCGGACGGGUGAGUAACGCGUGGGUAAUGUGCCUCUGGGUGCGGAACAACCGUUGGAAACGACGGCUAAUACCGCAUGACGUCUACGGACCAAAGAUUUAUCGCCCAGAGAUCAGCCCGCGUUGGAUUAGCUAGUUGGGGGGGUAAUGGCCCACCAAGGCGACGAUCCAUAGCUGGUUUGAGAGGAUGAUCAGCCACACUGGGACUGAGACACGGCCCAGACUCCUACGGGAGGCAGCAGUGGGGAAUCUUAGACAAUGGGCGCAAGCCUGAUCUGGCCAUGCCGCGUGAGCGAUGAAGGCCUUAGGGUUGUAAAGCUCUUUCACCGGUGAAGAUAAUGACGGUAGCCGGAGAAGAAGCCCCGGCUAACUCCGUGCCAGCAGCCGCGGUAAUACGGAGGGGGCUAGCGUUGUUCGGAAUUACUGGGCGUAAAGCGCGCGUAGGCGGACUGAUCAGUCAGGGGUGAAAUCCCGGGGCUCAACCCCGGAACUGCCUUUGAUACUGUCAGUCUUGAGUCCGGAAGAGGCGAGUGGAAUACCGAGUGUA